rnacentral:rRNA from 1 species
AAUCAACGCUGGCGGCGUGCCUCAGACAUGCAAGUCGAACGAUUAAAGCUCUCUUCGGAGAGUGUAUAGAGUGGCGCACGGGUGAGUAACACGUAAGUAAUCUACCCUCGAGUGGGGAAUAACGUCCGGAAACGGACGCUAAUACCGCAUAAUGCAGCGGCACCGCAAGGUGACAGUUGUUAAAGGAGAAAUUCGCUUGAGGAGGAGCUUGCGGCAGAUUAGCUUGUUGGUAAGGUAACGGCUUACCAAGGCUACGAUCUGUAACCGGUCUUAGAGGACGGUCGGUCACACUGACACUGAAUAACGGGUCAGACUCCUACGGGAGGCAGCAGUCGGGAAUUUUGGGCAAUGGGCGAAAGCCUGACCCAGCAACGCCGCGUGAAGGAUGAAGUAUUUCGGUAU